GACGUAGGGCGCGAGCGUUGUCCGGAUUUAUUGGGCGUAAAGAGCUCGUAGGCGGCUUGUCGCGUCGACUGUGAAAUCCCGCGGCUCAACUGCGGGUCUGCAGUCGAUACGGGCAGGCUAGAGUUCGGCAGGGGAGACUGGAAUUCCUGGUGUAGCGGUGAAAUGCGCAGAUAUCAGGAGGAACACCGGUGGCGAAGGCGGGUCUCUGGGCCGAUACUGACGCUGAGGAGCGAAAGCGUGGGGAGCAAACAGG
rnacentral:rRNA from 1 species